rnacentral:rRNA from 1 species
GGGUAGUUUGACUGGGGCGGUCUCCUCCCAAAGAGUAACGGAGGAGCACGAAGGUUAGCUAAUCACGGUCGGACAUCGUGAGGUUAGUGCAAAGGCAUAAGCUAGCUUGACUGCGAGAGUGACGGCUCGAGCAGGUACGAAAGUAGGUCUUAGUGAUCCGGUGGUUCUGAAUGGAAGGGCCAUCGCUCAACGGAUAAAAGGUACUCCGGGGAUAACAGGCUGAUACCGCCCAAGAGUUCAUAUCGACGGCGGUGUUUGGCACCUCGAUGUCGGCUCAUCACAUCCUGGGGCUGAAGUAGGUCCCAAGGGUAUGGCUGUUCGCCAUUUAAAGUGGUACGCGAGCUGGGUUUAGAACGUCGUGAGACAGUUCGGUCCCUAUCUGCCGUGGGCGUUGGAAGAUUGAGAGGGGUUGCUCCUAGUACGAGAGGACCGGAGUGAACGCACCACUGGUGUUCGGGUUGUCAUGCCAAUGGCAUUGCCCGGUAGCUAAGUGCGGAAAAGAUAAGCGCUGAAAGCAUCUAAGCGCGAAACUUGCCUCAAGAUGAGUCUUC